AGUGAGGGAGUGAUUGAAAUGGAAGAUUGUGGAAAGAAAAAGGCGCGCUCUCUCCCUCCCUCGCUGCUCUCGUGUUCUUCUCAACUCCAAUUCGCAUCUGUAGACUGCACUUGAAUCAAUCUGAAGAUGGAUUCACUAAGCCCUGCCGUCUUUGUCAACUCUGAACUGUUACCCUUCUGUGUUGGAAGAAGGGUUCGUACUGUGAUCCAAGUUAUGCGAUCUGACGGUGUAGUUGUCAUUGGAAAAUCACCUGAUGAGAAACAAAUUAUUGUAAAAACAUCACCUGAUUCACCCCUACCAUCUCCUCAUACGGGUUUUGUAGAAGUUAUUGGUAUUGUUAGCAGUGACAAGUCCAUCAAAGCUGAGUUAUGGACCAACUUUGGCGAUGAAAUUGAUAUGUUCAGCUACCAUAAGCUUUGUCAGCUUGCAAAUGGAGAAUUCAAACACUUGUUCCUCUGACUUGAGUUUACAACUUACAACAAGCUUAUCUGACUAUAAAAAGACAUCUCUAUCAGACGCAAAUGGAGGAUUUAAACAAAUGUUUUCGUUUUCAUGAGAGGAAAUAGUGUGCUAAAUUUGGAGGCACUUGAACUAGUGAACAAGAGCAUCAGAUUACUAUUUUUUUUGGUAAACAUUUAUAACUGAAGUGAAAGUUAAGAAUUUUCAACAGAAACUGUAUAACUGCUGAGAGUAAAAUGUAAUUGGGGAUGUUAAUAUGGUCAUGGUUAUGUUUCUGGUUGA